GAAUAAGUCUCGGCUAACUACGUGCCAGCAGCCGCGGUAAAACGUAGGAGGCGAGCGUUAUCCGGAUUCACUGGGCGUAAAGCGCGCGUAGGCGGUUGGGUAAGUCGGACGUGAAAGCCCCUGGCUCAACUGGGGGAGGCCGUUCGAUACUGCCCGGCUUGAGGGUGAGAGAGGGAAGUGGAAUUCCCGGUGUAGCGGUGGAAUGCGUAGAGAUCGGGAGGAACACCAGUGGCGAAAGCGGCUUCCUGGCUCACUCCUGACGCUGAGAGCGCGAAAGCGUGGGGAGCAAACGGGAUUAGAUACCCU
rnacentral:rRNA from 1 species